AUCAAAAUCUCUCUCUCUCUCUCUCUCCAGCUCAGAUCAAAAUCUUUUCUUUCAGUUCCACAAACAAUCAAUGGAGAGCUAUGCAUUAGCUCUUUCUAGCUCCAGUCUAAACCCAAAACCCCUAAAGCAUAUCAACCCACCCAAAAUCUUACCACGUUCUUCAUCUUCUUCUUCUUCACCAAUCCAUUUACUGUGCAGAAGCAUAAGUUCAAACACACCAGGCUUCACUUUCAGCUCUAAUUACAAAACCCACAAUAAUUACUAUUCCUUCUUGUCUCCAAAACGAAUCUACAAUGAUUUGGUGGUGGCCAGGGCUUCUGAAAGCUCCGGUGAGUCUGCAAAUCCAGCUGAGUUUGGCCGGAAUUUACAGCUGGCAGCCAUGUUUGGAGUGUGGUAUCUUUUGAACAUCUACUUCAACAUCUUCAACAAACAGGUUCUUAAGGUUUUUCCAUACCCAAUGACAGUGACCACGUUUCAAUUUGGGUGUGGGACUGUGAUGAUUUUGAUUAUGUGGGCACUUAAACUUCAUCCAAGACCCAAGAUUUAUAAAUCCCAGAUUGUACCUGUGGUAAUGUUGGCAGUGGCACACACAAUGGGAAACCUUUUGACUAACAUAAGUCUUGGAAGAGUUGCGGUUUCCUUCACUCACACAAUUAAAGCCAUGGAGCCUUUUUUCACUGUUCUCUUUUCUGCACUUCUACUUUCAGAGAGACCAACAUUAUGGGUGGUUUCAUCUCUUGUGCCUAUUGUGGGUGGUGUUGCAUUGGCAUCCUUCACCGAAUCUUCAUUUAACUGGAUCGGUUUUGGAAGUGCAAUGGCUUCAAAUGUCACCAACCAAUCACGUAAUGUACUUAGCAAAAAGUUUAUGGUCAGGAAAGAGGAAGCUUUGGACAAUAUCAAUCUGUUCUCAGUUAUCACCAUCAUCUCCUUUAUCCUGUUGAUCCCUUUUAUGUUCUUAUUAGAAGGCUUCAAGUUUACUCCAGAGUACCUGCAGUCUGCUGCAAGUCAAGGUGUGAAUGUGAGAGAGCUAUGUGUGAGGUCUGUUCUAGCUGGUGUCUGCUUUCAUAGUUAUCAACAGAGGAGUGACAGGUAUCGUAUAUGAUACUACAAAUGGUAAAUCCAGUGACACAUGCCGUGGGGAACUGUGUGAAGCGAGUGGUGGUCAUCGUCUCCUCUGUUAUCUUCUUUCAGACACCCGUGUCUCCCAUAAACUCCCUUGGAACUGGUUUGGCACUUGCUGGAGUUUUCCUGUAUUCAAGAGCAAAACGGAUAAAACCAAAAGCUGCUUGACUUGUAAUACAAGCUUCAUAGGUUGAAGCAUCGCAUAUCAUUUCAAUUCGCCUUGCCUUGGAAACAAUAAUUGUGCAUAUAUACAUUCUACACUCAUUUUCCCUUUUCUUUUGUAUCGCCCUCUGCCCUGGUUAGAAAAGGAACAGAGCACUCAAAAAGUAUGACCAAGAUAUAUUUGGAAUU